rnacentral:rRNA from 1 species
CGAGCGGAUGACGGGAGCUUGCUCCUUGAUUCAGCGGCGGACGGGUGAGUAAUGCCUAGGAAUCUGCCUGGUAGUGGGGGACAACGUUUCGAAAGGAACGCUAAUACCGCAUACGUCCUACGGGAGAAAGCAGGGGACCUUCGGGCCUUGCGCUAUCAGAUGAGCCUAGGUCGGAUUAGCUAGUAGGUGAGGUAAUGGCUCACCUAGGCGACGAUCCGUAACUGGUCUGAGAGGAUGAUCAGUCACACUGGAACUGAGACACGGUCCAGACUCCUACGGGAGGCAGCAGUGGGGAAUAUUGGACAAUGGGCGAAAGCCUGAUCCAGCCAUGCCGCGUGUGUGAAGAAGGUCUUCGGAUUGUAAAGCACUUUAAGUUGGGAGGAAGGGCAGUAAGCUAAUACCUUGCUGUUUUGACGUUACCGACAGAAUAAGCACCGGCUAACUCUGUGCCAGCAGCCGCGGUGAGACAGAGGGUGCAAGCGUUAAUCGGAAUUACUGGGCGUAAAGCGCGCGUAGGUGGUUCGUUAAGUUGGAUGUGAAAGCCCCGGGCUCAACCUGGGAACUGCAUCCAAAACUGGCGAGCUAGAGUAUGGUAGAGGGUGGUGGAAUUUCCUGUGUAGCGGUGAAAUGCGUAGAUAUAGGAAGGAACACCAGUGGCGAAAGCGACCACCUGGACUGAUACUGACACUGAGGUGCGAAAGCGUGGGGAG